rnacentral:rRNA from 1 species
UACGUAGGGUGCAAGCGUUUAAUCGGAAUUACUGGGCGUAAAGCGUGCGCAGGCGGUUUUGUAAGUCUGUCGUGAAAUCCCCGGGCUCAACCUGGGAAUUGCGAUGGAGACUGCAAGGCUAGAAUCUGGCAGAGGGGGGUAGAAUUCCACGUGUAGCAGUGAAAUGCGUAGAUAUCGGGAGGAACACCAGUGGCGAAGGCGGCUACCUGGCCCAUUCUUGACGCUGAAGCGCGAAAAGCCAGGGGAGCAAACGGGG